rnacentral:rRNA from 1 species
UGGGGAAUUUUCCGCAAUGGGCGAAAGCCUGACGGAGCAACGCCGCGUGAGGGAGGAAGGUCUUUGGAUUGUAAACCUCUUUUCUCAAGGAAGAAGUAAGUGACGGUACUUGAGGAAUCAGCCUCGGCUAACUCCGUGCCAGCAGCCGCGGUAAUACGGGGGAGGCAAGCGUUAUCCGGAAUUAUUGGGCGUAAAGCGUCCGCAGGUGGUCAGCCAAGUCUGCCGUCAAAGCAUAGAGCUUAACUCUAUAAAGGCGGUGGAAACUGGCAGACUAGAGAGCAGUAGGGGUAGCAGGAAUUCCCAGUGUAGCGGUGAAAUGCGUAGAGAUUGGGAAGAACAUCGGUGGCGAAAGCGUGCUACUGGGCUGUAUCUGACACUCAGGGACGAAAGCUAGGGGAGC